rnacentral:lncRNA from 1 species
CAAGAUAUCACUGGAACGAGUUCAGUUAAUCAGGGUUAUAGUUCAUUGUGGUUUUACUAUAAAAUAUUAUAAAGCAAAAGAAACACCAACUACCUACCUAAGCGAUGAAAUCCAAAGGUGAAUCUUUUGGUUGGUGAUUUUGAUGAUAGCCACAAAGCAAGCAGGGUAAUGCUGAUGCUUCAAGUCUUGGAACCACACUUCGAGAAUCACUGUUAUAAUGUACAGCAGAACUGCAUGAUCAGCUGUAUGGUAGCCUUGAAAACCAACAGGCCACAAUCACAGUGAAAACCUCAGGUUGGCAGCCACUGGAGGAUACAAAAUGAGUUUGGAUCUCCUUCAAUGCCCCAUUCCCAGAGAACUGUCAUUAUUUGACCUGCUGGUAGUUCCCUAAAGGACGUGCAAGGAUGUUUUUAUUUGACUGGACACUUGAAGCUUGCCCUGUAUGAACAGCCCCCAUCUUCCCAUGCUUGUCAAAAAUCAGAGGCAACUAACACUGCGGCUUCCUGAGAGUCUCACUCUGUCACCCAGGCUGGAGAGCAAUUGCACAAACACUUGGCUCACUGCAGCCUCAACUUCUUGUCCUCAAGUGAUCCUCCCACCUUAGCCUCCUAAGUAGCUGGGACCACAGAGAGUCUCACUCUGUCACCUGGGGUGGAGUACAGCAGCCGGAUCUCAGCUCACUGCAACCUCCACCCCCUGGGCUCAACCGAUCCUGCCACUUCAGCCUCCAGAGGAGCUAGGACCACAGACACGCACUACCAAGUCAGGCUAAGUUUUUGGUUUUUUUUGGUAGAGAGGGGGUUUCAUCAUGUUGCCAGGCUGGUCUUGAACUCCUGAGCUCAAGCGAUCCUCAGGCUCCCAACGUGCUGGGAUUAUAGGCAUGAGCCACUGCACCCAGCCAAAUUGCUUCAUUUUUUAUUACUCCAUACUUCCUACAUAAGAUACUUCCUACACCUGGCCAAAUUGCUUCAUUUUUUAAAAAUAUAUUUUAUUUAAUGUAGUCUCACUCUGUUGCCCUGGCUGGAGUGCAGUGGCAUGAUCUCAGCUCACUGCAACCUCUGCCUCCUGGGUUAAAGCGAUUUCUGGCUAAUUUUUGUAUUUUUAGUAGAGAUGGGGUUUCACCAUGUUGGCCAGGCUGCUCUCAAACUCCUGACCUCAAGUGAUCCACCCGCCUUGGCCUCCCAGAAGUGCUAGGAUUACAGGUGUGAGCCACCGUGCCUGGCCAAAUUGCUUCAUUUUUUAUUUCUCCAUACUUCCUACAUAAGAUGCUUUAUUUCUCUUUCUUUCUUUCUUUUUUUGAGACAGAGUCCCACUCUGUCACCCAGGCUGGAGUGCAGUGGUGCAAUCUUGGCUCACUGCAACCUCCACCUCCCAGGUUCAAGCGAUUCUCGUGUCUCAGCCUCCCCAGUAGCUGGGACUACAGGUGCGCCAUGACGCCUGGCUAAUUUUUUUGUAUUUUCAGUAGAGACGGGGUUUCACCAUGUUGGCCAGUCUGCUUUCCUCCUAACCUCAAGUGAGCCGCCUGCCUCGAAGAUGCUUUAUUUAUAAGCGCUUUGGACACACUUUAAUAAAUGCUCUAUUGUAUACAGUUGAACUCUAUAUAACAUUUUGAAUAAUAUUGUUAAUGCUUACCCUAAGUACUACUAUCAUCUCUGUAUUGUUUAACAAAAUAUUUCCACAUUUGACAAUAAAGUCAGUAUUUGAAAGGAAAUACUUAUUGUGGCUUUCAUAAAACAACAUUUACCAAAUAACAGAUUUCAGAAGUGAGAAGUCAAGACAAUUAUAUCUUAAUGAUUUUUACUUAGGUGAAAUAAACUCUGAAUUAUUAAUCAUUUUAAGGGGGGAUGCUGUGAUUGUUAUUUUAACUUCAAAUAUUCAACGUUAACUUCAAAAAUCAUUAAACCUGAAUGACUCAAUAUUCUAGUUGUGUUAGUUUGGGCAAGUCACCGAAUCUCAGUCUGCUGAGACCAUGGUGCUUUAUCUGGGGCACAGGUUGUCUCCUGUCUUUUAAUUUCUUUACAGCUCAAGCAUUUAUAAUUAUCUAACAGAAUAAAAAUGAAUUAAUUCAACAAGUUUAUUGAGUAUCUACUUUGUGCCAGUCACUGUUCUAGGUGCUAGGAAUUCAGCCUGUAUUUCAGUGGAAACAGGUAAUAUUAAAUGAGUAAAUAAAUAAGAUAUCUCAGAUGCUGAGGACUUUGAAAGUUGGAGAGGGAACAGGGAACAAAAGAGAUUUACUUUAGUCAGUCAGAAAAGGUCUCUCAAAAGUGUGGGUUUUUUUAAUUUUUAUUACUUAUUUAUUUAUUUAUUAUUUUAUUUACUUAUUUUUUUUUGAGACGGAUUCUCACCCUGUUGCCCAGGCUGGAGUGCAGUGGCGCAAUCUCGGCUCACCACAACUUCCGCCUCCCGGGUUCAAGCGAUUCUCCUGCUUUAGCCUCCCAAGUAGCUGGGAUUACAGGCGCCCACCACAACGUCCGGCUAAUUUUUGUAUUUUGUUUUUAGUAGAGACAAGGUUUCACCAUGUUGGCCAGGGUGGUCUCAAACUCCUGACCUCAGGUGAUCCACCCACCUCGGCCUCCCAAAGUGCUGGGAUUAAAGGCGUGAGCCACUGCACCCGGCCGGGGUGUCUUUUUAAAUAAGACACGAAUGACAAGAAACUGGCCAAGAAAAGAUUUGGGAAAGGCAGUCUAUGUAAAGCAGUGUUUUUCAAGCUAAGGCCCUGACCUACUGCAGUGGACACACGAAAUCCAUUUAGUGAGCUGGGACCACAAUUGAAGAAACUAUUAGGAUACAUCACAUGAAGGAAAACUUUUGUUUCAGUUAUACAUAUAUUUAUACACAUGUGACCUGUGUAUAUUCUCAUACAUAUGUAUGCAUGCAUGCCUAAAUGAGUCACAAUGUGAAGUGUAUUUCUUACUACAGUGAGGUCAAAAAAUGUUUGAAAGCCACUGAGAUAGAAGGACCAGCCACUUUGAACGCCUUAGAGGCAAAAAGAGCUUUGUGAGUUGUAAGAGGAAAAAGAAGACCAGCAUGGCUGAAGCGAGCCCUGGGGAGGAGUGUUAUGAAAGAAGGUAGGAAAUGUAUAUAAUUUUUCCCACAUAGAACCCUCCAGUCAAACAUCUUAAAUCUGGACUGCCACCUGUUUUUGUCAUGGUUCAUCAUUUAAGAGAUGACAUGUAAGAAUCAUCUCCCUGCUUUUAUGUCACUUUGUAAACUGUCACUGAGAAGUUAGUAGUUAUACUGACGUGAUUGAAAAUAACCUCUAAACUAAGAAUGUAUCUUAUAUUGAGAACGGAUUGUUCGUAUAAUUAAAAAAUGAACAAGAAAACCAGGCUCAUAGAACUUUGGCGGAGUCCUCUGGUUCAUUUCAGGCCCUUCUUACGAGGCAAAAAUUUCAUGUUAGUUGGUAAUUAAUUUUGCAAAUCUCUUGGCUAUAAAUACAAAAGGAAAUCGUAUAAAAGAAACCACUUAGGUCAAAUGUAGAGGAAAAAAAUGCUGGGACUGUAGAUGUGGCUCUUCCAUUAACUCCCUAAGUGGCCCUCACGACUUAUUCCACUGGUUUGUGCCCUGGAAAUCCUUACAUGUAAAAAAAAAAAGGAGGUGGAGCAGGUGUUCAGUAAGGUCCCUUCAUACUGUAAAAUUCUAUGAUCUUAAGUUAUUUACGAUCAUUUACUAUUUUAAACGUUGCGAAAAUUAACCUGGUAUUUUACCAGACCUUUGUAAAAAGAGGAAGUUACAUGACAUACAAUGAAGAUAACGUCCUUAACUUUACGGUAGAUGACAGUGGUUGAACAACUAGAAGAGAAAGUCAAAGUUAUCUCGGGGAGUUUAUAUUGUACUUAGAUUGAGCUGCACUUUGGAACCGUGUGGCCUUUUCACAUGAGAUCAGUGUCUUGAUAAAUACAAACUUCCUGAAAAGAUGGGUUAAACCUCAAAGCCUGUGUAACUACAGCUUGACAAAGACUCUCGAGGAAAGGUAAACGGAAAGUGAGUUGGCAACACAACUCACCUACAAGUUCUCCAAUCAUGAAAAGCAAGUACAGAACGGCAGCAAUGGUCAACCUGGCUUUCACCUUUCUCUGCUUCAGUAUCUCUCUCUGUUUGCUGCAGUUGUCACAGGAGUCCACCUUCAAACUCAGCUGACUGUUGGUCAAAGGUAAGUCUUGGUCCAGUAAGGAAUCAUCGUCGGCCUGGAGGGUCGGGUGCGCCCCGUUAACAGGCCUUUCCG